rnacentral:rRNA from 1 species
GACGAACGCUGGCGGCGUGCUUAACACAUGCAAGUCGAACGGUGAUGCUCCAGCUUGCUGGAGUGGAUCAGUGGCGAACGGGUGAGUAACACGUGAGCAACCUGCCCCAGACUCUGGAAUAAGCGCUGGAAACGGCGUCUAAUACUGGAUACGAAACUGGCCCGCAUGGGCAUGGUUUGGAAAGUUUUUCGGUUUGGGAUGGGCUGGCGGCCUAUCAGCUUGUUGGUGAGGUAAUGGCUCACCAAGGCGACGACGGGUAGCCGGCCUGAGAGGGCGACCGGCCACACUGGGACUGAGACACGGCCCAGACUCCUACGGGAGGCAGCAGUGGGGAAUAUUGCACAAUGGGCGAAAGCCUGAUGCAGCGACGCCGCGUGAGGGAUGACGGCCUUCGGGUUGUAAACCUCUUUCAGCAGGGAAGAAGCGAAAGUGACGGUACCUGCAGAAGAAGCACCGGCUAACUACGUG